rnacentral:rRNA from 1 species
UUAUCGGAAUGAGAACAAUUCAAAUCCUUUAACGAGGACCUAGCGGAGGGCAAGUCUGGUGCCAGCAGCCGCGGUAAUUCCAGCUCCGCAGGCGUAUAUCUAUGCUGCUGCGGUUAAAAAGCUCGUAGUUGGAUCUGCGUGCUCGGAACUGGUUGGCUCACUGAGUUCAAACUGGUCUCCGGCGCUUUAUUGGCUGGUUUUCCCUUGAUGCUCUUAACCGGGUGUCUUGGGUGGCUAGCACGUUUACUUUGAAAAAAUUAGAGUGCUCAAUACAGGCGUAAAGCCUUGAAUAGUGGUGCAUGGAAUAAUAGAAUAGGACCUCGGCUCUAUUUUGUUGGUUUUCGGAACGCGAGGUAAUGAUUAAGAGGGACAGACGGGGGCAUUCGUAUUGCGACGUUAGAGGUGAAAUUCUUGGAUCGUCGCAAGACGGACGACUGCGAAAGCAUUUGCCAAGAAUGUUUUCAUUAAUCAAGAACGAAAGUUAGUGGUUCGAAGGCGAUCAGAUACCGCCCUAGUUCUAACCGUAAACGAUGCCAACUAGCGAUUCGCAGGCGUUAAACAACGACCUUGCGGGCAGCUUCCCGGAAACGAAAGUGUUCGGGUUCCGGGGGAAGUAUGGCUGCAAAGCUGAAACUUAAAGGAAUUGACGGAAGGGCACCACCAGGAGUGGAGCCUGCGGCUUAAUUUGACCCAACACGGGAAAACUCACCCGGCCCGGACACCGUAAGGAUUGACAGAUUGAGAGCUCUUUCUUGAUUCGGUGGGUGGUGGUGCAUGGCCGUUCUUAGUUGGUGGAGCGAUUUGUCUGGUUUAUUCCGAUAACGAACGAGACUCUGGCCUACUAAAUAGUGGGCGGAUUCUUUCUGUCCGCAACACUUCUUAGAGGGACAAGCGGUGUUCAGCCGCACAAGAUUGAGCAAUAACAGGUCUGUGAUGCCCUUAGAUGUCCGGGGCUGCACGCGCGCUACACUGAAGGAAUCAGCGUGCUUUCUGACCUUGCCCGAAAGGGCUGGGUAACCCGAUGAAAAUCCUUCGUGAUUGGGAUAGGGACUUGCAAUUAUUUCCCUUGAACGAGGAAUUCCCAGUAAGAGUGGGUCAUAAGCUCGCGUUGAUUACGUCCCUGCCCUUUGUACACACCGCCCGUCGCUGCCCGGAACUGAGCCGUUUCGAGAAGAACAGGGACCGUCGUUGAAGGGCCUUAACGGGCUUUUCUCUGAUAGAAACUGUU